UUUUUAUGGAAGCAAUGGCAAAUCAAAUCCAAUUUCCAUGGAAAACAAAGUGGAACAUGAAGCAGAGGACCAAAUAACAUAUGAUGUGUAUUUCCCUUCUGACUUGGGGAUGCUUUAUAAAGUGAGACUUGGGCUUCAGGGCUGGGAAAAUAACACAUCCCAGUUGUUUCUACGUCACUUUAAAAUGCAGAACACAAAAACCCUGGAUACCUUCAGUCUCACUAUAAAUAAAACACUUCCUCUUUCUCUUAAUGGAGACAGAUGGAUGGAGCUCCCUAUAGAGUGGCCAUUAAAAGAUGCACUUUCUGUGGUCACAUAUCAUGUAACAGUAGUUUCCAGCAAUGUUUUGAAAAAGAAAAGUGUAGUACAGGUGACAAUGUGCGUACAUGGAACCAAUGGUGACACAGGGGACAGACCCCUUCUCCAUCUGUUGCAGAAUCCUAAGCAAAGACAAGAUAAU
rnacentral:lncRNA from 1 species